AAAGUGGCGAACGGCUGAGUAACACGUGGGCAACCUGCCCUUUGCACUGGGAUAGCCUCGGGAAACCGAGGUUAAUACCGGAUACUCCAUAUUUGUCGCAUGGCGAAUAUGGGAAAGCUCCGGCGGCAAAGGAUGGGCCCGCGGCCUGUUAGCUAGUUGGUGGGGUAGUGGCCUACCAAGGCAAUGAUGGGUAGCCGGGUUGAGAGACCGACCGGCCAGAUUGGGACUGAGACACGGCCCAGACUCCUACGGGAGGCAGCAGAU
rnacentral:rRNA from 1 species